UUCAUGGAUCGGGCGUUCCGGGGUAUUAAUCCUUCCCUGGCCGUAACCGUACUCUCAAACCUAGAUCUCGAAAAAUGUAGACCAGUUUAAGAUUCUUUCGGCAGGCUUAAAUCUAAUUAAGACUCUGUCGAUUAGAAUCGAGUCAAUAGGUGGCCAAUCACACAUAGUAAAAAAGAUUGGUGGUGACUCCUAAGUUUAGAGUUUUCACUCGUGUCUAGUGGUCGGGUUUUCGGACCCGCACGUUACGACAAUACCUUAUUAUUUUAUGUUGAGUUUAUAAAGAUAAUAGUCUAGUAUAUUUAAAAGAACACCGAUUUUUCAGAAUUGACCACGUGGAGUAUAGAGAAAGAAAGACAAAAGAUGUCGAAGCAAAGAGAGAGGAAGAGCAGGGGGUGCAAAGAGUUCAGGGUUUACCAUGUGGAGAGCAGAUAAAUAGAAAGAAAAGAUGUUGAAGCAAAGAAAGGGGGUGCAAAGGGGUCCGUGUGCAACGCAUAGCUGAUAUUUAGUUAUUUUGAAAGAGCUAGUAAUAUAAUAUACAAAAAAAUUUAAAAUUUUUUAUAUGUUAUGAAAAAGAUUUUAAAAGUUUUAGGGGGGGGGCCAUAAGGAGGCUCCGCCCUUGUGUGGAAGCUUUCCUAGUAGAUGGAGGUUACUGAUUACCGACAGGGGGUGGGGACCGGGAGGAAGUUUUCGGCCAUUUUUGAGUUGGUUUGAUCGAGAGAUGUAGAUAAAGGAACAGAGAGUUCCGAGGAGGAUAAGAAGGAAGGCUAAUUGUCACGACCCGGAACUCCCCAUCGAGCCCGUGACAACCGCCGCGAGGCCUCGACAGACAUUCUUCACCCUGAAUGCCGAUCGAAAUCCCGCAAGGCUUAGCAUCAACUUCCGCAUCUCUCCGGUGAGCAACAAUUAUUAAAUCUCGCAUUUAAAAAAAAUCAUAAGUCAUUUUCAAAUAAGAACAAUAAAAUAUUAUUUUUUGACUCAUAGGGGCAUUUUCGUAAUUUUUCGUCAAAAAUCUCAAAACUUGCUAAAAAUGUAGUAGGUAAGCAGAAAAUAUAUAUUUAAUGAUUUAAAAACAAAAUAAGUAUCUAAAACGUUUAUUUGAAAGUAAAUUGUUAACAACUAGUACUAUUCAAAAAUAAUCAAUAAAAUAUUCUAUUUUCUCAUAAAAUAAAUUUUUAUAAAAAUAUUCGUAAAUAAUUUUUCGUACAUGAAAGUAAAGUAAAAAUUGUAUGAAUAGAAAUACAAAUAACCAAAAUAUAAGUUUUGAUAUGCAAUGACACGUGGGCCCCAAUUGACCAAGAGGAUGUAAGACUGUGAACUCUUACUUUUUAUAAUGCAGUUCCGACCUUAGUUCUCGUCCUACUCGACUAUCUACAAACUGUCCUGAGCCUGAAAAAUGUAUAGAAAGAAGGGGUGAGAUUUUAUAAUCCCAGUGAGUAAACAGAUACCAUCAAAAGUAUCUAAAGCCGAGUAAAUGGAGACAAUUAAAAUAAGUCAUCAUAUUGUAAUUUCAUUACCUUUCAGUUCAUUUCAACCAAAUAAAAUCAAUCCAUAUAAAUCGAGUAAUCAACUUGGCUUAUGAAUUUCUUAAAACUUUGGCUCGUGCCAAAACUCAUACUCAGUGAUACCUUGCGCAGGGCAUUCAACCGAGUCCGCCAAGGCUAUUAAAAUUUCAUAUACACUUAAAAUAUAUUUUUAGUUUGAGAAAAAUACAGUCGUUCCUUGGCGUUGGCUGAGUUCCCCUUCACGUGGUGGUUUAGCGUGAAGUGAACCCUAAGCUUUACCCCAGGAGAUACCCUAUGCGCCUCUCCGUUCGGGGUAAAAAUAUACUGGAGUUUACCGUGCCCCUCUAAUAGGCUGGUCCACGGAACCCCCUCUGC
rnacentral:lncRNA from 1 species